AAUAAGUGCAGUUUUACACUAUUCACGUUCAACGUUUGACCGUUCGUCUUAUUUGAAAAAUUUUUAUGAUUAGUAUUUUUAUUGUUAUUAGAUGAUAAAACAUGAAUAGUACUUUAUGUGUGACUAAAUAUUUUUAAAUUUUUCAUAAAUUUUUAAAAUAAGACGAAAGGUCGAACGUUGAGCACGAAUAUUCCACGGCUGUACUUAUU
rfam:Oryza nivara chromosome 3, whole genome shotgun sequence.